CCCCUCUCAGGGUCACACCUGAGGAGUAUCCACUAUUCUACCAGUCUUGACUACGGGAUGGAGAGUCAAGCAGAUGCAUACCCAUUCCAUUCCUAGCUUGGGCAGCGGCUAGUGAGUGGAAGGUAAUCUGCUACAAGU